rnacentral:lncRNA from 9 species
GGCAGCUGCCUGCCUGGAGGAAUUUCAGGCUGAUCCUCUGUCCUUUCCUCCUAUCCUUCUCAGUCCUGCCACCUCUGCCUCCCCAGGCAGUCCCCUCCCCAGUAACCACAAAUUCUACCAUUAGAGAUUCGUUCCUUUGGCUUCACAUUUUCUCUGCUAUUAAACGGCAACGCCUCUUGCCAUGGUCCCUAGAGUAAUAUUUCCUUUGUUUUUUUAUGUUCCUUUUAAAAGAAGGAAGAGGAAAACACAGAAGUCAGCAUGAGAGGAAAUUAGCGUGGAGAGAAAUGCAAACCACAUGUGUAACUAAGGAGAAGCUUGCAAUUCCGUGGAGAGUUUCCUACUUGUACCUGAGCGGAAUGGAAAUCUGCUGUGACCUUUGCUCCUGCCUUCAUGGCCGCCUGCUAACGCUGUGGCAUCUCAUCGUGGAGCUCAGAGGAGGAGAUGGUCCCGCUUUGGAAAGAUGAAGGCAGAGAGGACCAGGCCUCCCACUGGCUUGGGCACGGAUGAGACUCAGGCAGAAGGACAGACUUCUGGAGGCGGCAGGGAAAAGGCAGGGUUCUGACAGAAACUAGACCAUGCUGCAGGCCUGGGCCUCUAAUGGGGGCCAUGGUUUCUUGCUCCCAUGCUUCUCCGCUCUGUGACCGGGGCUCCUGAUUUCUGACCUGGAGGCCUAGCCCUUCCUCAAGUUCACGAUCAGGCAUCAGUCCAGACAAGCAGCCCACUGAAAACAUCCCUGAGGAGUCUGCUGUGGCUCAGCGGUUAACAAAUUUGAUGAGCAUCCAUGAGGACGCAGGUUCAAUCCCUGGCCUCACUCAGUGGGUUAAGGAUCCAGCAUGGCCGUGAGCUCUGGUGUAGGUCGCAGACGCGGCUCGGAUCUGGUGUUGCUGUGGCUGUAGUGCAGGCCGGCAGCUGUAGCUCCAAUUGGACCCCUAGCCUGGGAACCUCCAUAUGCCACGGGUGUGGCCCUAAAAAGACCAAAAAAAUAAAAUAAAAUAAAAAAGAAAAUGUCCCCGAAACACCAUUGCCUAUCAGUAGCCACACCAGCUUGGCCUGGAGUCUCUUAAAACUUGCUAGGCCAGAACCCCACACCCCACCGCAACCCUGUAACCCCUUAAGACUCUCCUGUCGGUGAGGCCUCUGUGUAUGGCACUACCGGCAGAGUUCAGGGGAAGCUUUCUACCUCUUUUUAUAGCUGAUUCCACCACCCAGUACUUGUCCAGUCAGUGUGUGAAUCGCCAGUGGCCCAGAACUGGUCUGUCCCAUGCUAGGGAGCCCUCGUUCUAACUGGGCU